CCCCUAUCAGGGUGGCAUUUGGAGAGUUUCCAGUACUCUACCAAUCUUGGCUCCGGGAGGGAGAGUCAAGCAGAGGCCUACCCAUUCCAUUCCUAGCUUGGGCAGUGGCUUGCGAGUAGAAGGCAAUCUGCUACAGGU